rnacentral:rRNA from 1 species
AGAGUUUGAUCCUGGCUCAGGACGAACGCUGGCGGCGCGCCUAAUACAUGCAAGUCGUACGGGUCCCCUUCGGGGGGCCAGUGGCGGACGGGUGAGUAACACGUGGGUGACCUGCCCUCAAGUGGGGAAUAACGCUGCGAAAGCAGCGCUAAUACCGCAUAUCCUCCACCCUUCGGUGGGCGGAGGAAAGCUCCGGCGCUUGAGGAGGGGCCUGCGGCCGAUUAGCUAGUCGGAGGGGUAACGGCCCACCGAGGCACCGAUCGGUAGCUGGUCUGAGAGGGUGAUCAACCACACUGGGACUGAAACACGGCCCAGACUCCUACGGGAGGCAGCAGUAAGGGAUC